rnacentral:rRNA from 1 species
AUGACCUCGGCCCAGAAAAAUGGCCUCGUCAAAGGGUUGGCUUCUGAUCUUAUAAAGGAUGGAGUGGGGAUUUUGCAAUAUGCAGAUGAUACUGUCAUUUGCUUCGAGCAUGAUAUAGAUAAAGUUGUUAAUGUGAAACUAUUGCUUUAUUUGUUUGAACUCAUGUCCGGAUUGAAAAUUAAUUUCGACAAGAGCGAAAUUAUUGUUAUAGGAGGGGAUAAUGAGACUGAUGCAGUAUAUGCUGAGAUGUUUGGGUGUCAGGUGGGUUCUUUACCUAUGAAAUACUUGGGUACACCGAUCUCCUACUCCACUUUGAAGAAUAUAGAGUUGGAUUUCCUGGAUGCUAAGAUGAUAAAAAAACUAGAUGCCUGGAUAGCCUAUGCUGCUUCAUCUGGAGCUAGGCUCACCUUGUUAGGUUCGAGCUUGGAUGGGAUCCCUUCUUGUCUUAUGUGUAUGUUCUUGUUUAACAAGACUUUUAUUGAUAAACUGGAUAAACACCGGAGAAGAUUUUUUUGGAAAAGAAAGAACAAAAAACGUGCUUAUCAUAUGGUGAAAUGGGCUAGGGUUUGCCGGUCCAAAAGAAAAGGUGGGUUGGGGAUCAAGGACCUCCAUAAGCAGCACAUUAGUCUGUUAACUAAGUGGUGGUGA